GGAUGAACGCUGACAGAAUGCUUAACACAUGCAAGUCUACUUGAAUUUGGGUUUUUUAACUUAGAUUUGGGUGGCGGACGGGUGAGUAACGCGUAAAGAACUUGCCUCACAGUUAGGGACAACAUUUGGAAACGAAUGCUAAUACCUGAUAUUAUGAAUAUAUGGCAUCAUAUAAUUAUGAAAGCUAUAAGCGCUGUGAGAGAGCUUUGCGUCCCAUUAGCUAGUUGGAGAGGUAACGGCUCACCAAGGCGAUGAUGGGUAGCCGGCCUGAGAGGGUGAACGGCCACAAGGGGACUGAGACACGGCCCUUACUCCUACGGGAGGCAGCAGUGGGGAAUAUUGGACAAUGGACCAAGAGUCUGAUCCAGCAAUUCUGUGUGCACGAUGACGUUUUUCGGAAUGUAAAGUGCUUUCAGUUGGGAAGAAAAAAAUGACGGUACCAACAGAAGAAGUGACGGCUAAAUACGUG
rnacentral:rRNA from 1 species